rfam:Nicotiana attenuata strain TT chromosome 11, whole genome shotgun sequence.
GCUCUCAUAACUUAGUUUCUUAGAGCGUUCGCUUAGUAAGCGAAGGUCUCGAGUUCGACUCUCAACAAGAGCA